AUCAUAGUGUCCUCCCUCCAAAAAGAAGAGAAGAAAACAAAUAGAAAGUAUCAAAACUCUUGUCAUGCUGGACAAGCUCUCUCCCUGGCGUGUGAUUCAGAGGCUUUCUCUUAAAAAGGUUGCUCCGAACUUCCAAGAUGCCCAUCACUAGCAUUAUUCAUAUAAGAUAUUGGGGAUUGCCAUUUGAGGCUGCAUGCCUUCACUCAAGUACCAUUUGACUGUAAUCACAAGCUGCAACGUCAAGGUUUUUGGAGGUGUGGCCGCAUCAGCUGUAUUUAUCUGCAAUUUCUCACUGUACCAAAAAACGCAACGAAACAACAACUGCCACCACUGUGACCUCAAUUUAAAACCAAAAAAGUAAGUGGUUCGCAUAUUGUAAUGCUAAGGAGUGACAUGGGUGCUCUUUCUGUGCUGCUGGUUCUACUGAUAUUCUGCAAUUCUGGGAUUCUUGGUAUAGCUGGAGGUUUGUUGAAUUUCACAAGGUAUGCUAUACCACGUAAGAAUAUCUCUGGCAAUGGCAAAGCAGAGUUGGAAGACAAGAGAGGCGUGCCAUCAGGAGCUAAUCCUCUGCAUAAUCGGUAGAGUAGAGAGGACAUGGUGGUAUUUGGGACCACACAGAAAGUGAUGAUCACAGAGUAUUAGUUUUAGGAAUUAGGACCUCUCAAAGGGGCUAAAGGAAUCUGCUAUUCCUUUUGUUCCUGUUUGGAUGUUAUUGUUAUCUGAAACAUGGAAAAGUAUCAAAGCAUAUAACAAUUGCCUAAAAUAUUGAUUCUUUUUCUGUGCUCAUCUGACAUGUUUAUACAUGAGCUGUCUCUUGGUUUAGUAACACCUAAUGGAUGUCUUGCUUGCAUGCCUAUUAUAAUUAAUUGUUUUUUUUUUUUUAA